GACGGGGGGAGCGAGCGUUGUUCGGAUUCAUUGGGCGUAAAGGGCAAGUAGGCGACUCACUAAGUCAGUUGUGAAAUCCCUCCGCUUAACGGAGGAACUGCAUCCGAUACUGGUGGGAUUGAGGAGUGGAGAAGCGAGCGGAAUUCUCGGUGUAGCGGUGGAAUGCGUAGAUAUCGAGAAGAACUCCAGUGGCGAAGGCGGCUCGCUAGACACAUCCUGACGCUGAAUUGCGAAAGCCAGGGGAGCGAACGGGAUUAGAUACCCCUGUA
rnacentral:rRNA from 1 species